ACGGGAGGCAGCAGUGGGGAAUAUUGGACAAUGGGGGGAACCCUGAUCCAGCGACGCCGCGUGAGUGAAGAAGUAUUUCGGUAUGUAAAGCUCUAUCAGCAGGGAAGAAGAUGACGGUACCUGCAGAAGAAGCCCCGGCUAACUACGUGCCAGCAGCCGCGGUAAUACGUAGGGGGCAAGCGUUAUCCGGAUUUACUGGGUGUAAAGGGAGCGUAGACGGCCUAGCAAGUCUGAAGUGAAAGCCCGCGGCUCAACUGCGGGACUGCUUUGGAAACUGUUAAGCUUGAGUGUCGGAGGGGUAAGCGGAAUUCCCAGUGUAGCGGUGAAAUGCGUAGAUAUUGGGAAGAACACCGGUGGCGAAGGCGGCUUACUGGACGAUAACUGACGUUGAGGCUCGAAAGCGUGGGGAGCAAACAGGAUUAGAUACCCUGGUA
rnacentral:rRNA from 2 species